CUCUUCUCAACGCGCCCUCCCGCCCCUCUGUCCAGGCCCCUUUCAUCCUUGGGCUCGAAGUGGAACUUUCCCCCACUCCCUUACUUGGAGAUUUCUUUUUUCCCAGUGACCUGGGCUGCACUUUGCCCCCGCUCCCUGCCUGCCAAUCUCCUCGGGGGUAGGGCCUCUCUCUUUCCAUUCUUGCGACUCCCCCUCCUCGAGAGCCCCGGGAGGCCCAGCCUCCCAGAAUCCGAUCUUCCCCCCAACGCAGCAGCCCCCCGCCGAGGAAGGAAGAGGCCUCCUCGGAAUGAAUGGCUGGAAAGAAAAAUGUUCACCAGGGGCUCUAAAGCCAUCCACUCACUGCCUUCAAGGGGAGUCCUCCUCGAUUCUUCACCUUGCUCCCCAGGAAACGGGUAGGGUGAAUGCAGAGAUGAUGAAGCUGACAGGCAUUACAUAAAAUUUUACACGCAAAUACAAAACAUUUGAAUCCCA